GUAAAGCGGAGGCGGGUGGGGAGGCGGGAGCGAGAGCCCGCGGCGGGCGAGGCGAAGAUGGUGGCGGCUACUCCUCCUGCCAUACACGUGGACCUAACUGCACCAAAAGCCUUUCUAAGGAUAUUUGCUAAGAAGGACGUUUGCCCGAGUGGAAAGCAGACUUUGGCAACGGUGACAGUUGACGAAUGGAACCGAAGAAGAGGCAGCGAGAGUUGUAGCCGACAUUUCUGCCUCCUCUUCCGUAUGUCUUGUCUCUAGCCUGUGUUUCAUAUGUGUAGAAAAAUGUGGGCUAACUGAAGAAUUACCUGAUUUUUAAAUGAUCAGUUGUUGAAAUUGGACCCAAGCUGAAUUUAGGAAGAAGGAUGCUAUCUUAGUAAUGAAAUAAAUGAACAUAACCUUACUUAAUAUACCACUUGAUACAUUUAGAAAACAUCAUUAUGUGAAACCGAAUAAAAGUCUAACCUCUAAUAUAUCCCUUCUUUAAGAAAUUUAAGGAGUUUAAUUAAGGAGCCCUGAAUAGAAAAAGGUAAGAAUUUCACAGUUCUGAAGUUCAUUAAAAGGUAAAUUAACAGAAUGAGAAAAUACCAAGAAUUGUGUAGUGGUUUACAAAAUGGAGAUCUAACUGUCCUUUAAUUUGAGUUCUAAACCUUUUGAAUUGAAGGGAACCUAAAAAUUGUUUUGGUUGUUUAAUGACAAACAUUGCUUUAGACUGUGCUCUGAAAGUCCCAUAGUGUUAGCAUGGCUUACAGUAGUCUACAAAACAGUGCGCUAUGCUGAUGAGUGAAAAAAGUGAUGGUUACAUCUUGGGGGAGAUACUCUGGGUUCUUGUUCAAAGUGGAAGUAAGGCUGCCAGGUGAUUUCUUUAAUGUGCUAAAUUGUAAUAACUUAAUAUUAGGUUGGCCCAAAUGCAUCUUUUAUUUUUACUUAAAACCGAACCAACUUUUUGGCCAACCCAAUAAAAGAAUCAUAAGGUUAAAUGGCAACUCUUCCUAGAUGCUGAACUUCUGUAGUACAUAUAUUCAAAACUUAACUGGACUUUUAAUAAAUGUGAACAUUUUCAUGUGGGUGUUGGCAGUGGAGCUGAGGUUGUUAUAGGGUUUAGUAGGAAUUGCAUUUGAUUUGUUUUAAAAUGUGUGGCAAAUUUUGUGUUCUUCAGUCUAAAGAUUUUCUUAGGCUUGACAACAUAGUUUUCAAGUAACACUUGAGGAAAAGCCAUAUAAAUAGAAAGGUUGACAUUCAGCCAUUUUGAGAUACAAAUAAGUGAAUAAGUUGAUUAUAGCUGAUAAUUGCCUCAUAUGUAGCUGACCUGGGGAAAAACAGCUCCGACCAUUUUUUUAUAGUGUUUUUAACCUUGGCAUUCCUUAAUGACUUAAUUUUUCAAGUUUGAUAGCCUUAAGGCUAUUUUCAGAAAAAUAACCUCAUAAUCUUCUUUUGCGUGUUAUUCAUAUUACAGUUCUCCAGUCUGUUUAAAAGGACGGCACUUACGGUUUUACAAAUUAUUCUUUUUCAAAGCUGCUUGCAAAGUAGUGGUGGUUUUACUAAAAACUUUCAGAUCUUCGUUUUACAGGCAAACCUAUCUAAGCAGAGCAAACCAGACUUGAGGGUUUUCCCUGUAGUUUGAAGAGCCCUACAGAAUGAUUCCUGACAAAAUGCAACCUACAACUGCCUGGAGAACAAUUCGGUGUCACAUUAAAGUUUACUGUGUAUUUAAUGAAGUACUGUUCUGUUAGUAAUUGACAACCUUGGGGUAGUUUGUCUAGCAUCAGAAUUAGGAGCCUCGAAGCUGAGCAGUAAAGGUAAGGAGAGCUCAGUAUGUGAGGCCAGUUUUUGUCGUCCAGCUGGAAAUAAUACCUUGCCUACUUGAGACAGCGCAUAAGUCUUUGCCUUAGAGGUUGUUAAGCUUUCAUUUUGCUUAAAGUAUGAAUUGAUGCUUUCUGUUUCGUUAAGUUAAAUUCAGGAUGUAAUAUUCUUACUGAGUUUUCAAGGGUAACGAAGAUGGAUAUAUCCCAUGAAUUUUAAGGCCAUAGAAAAAUUACUGAAGAAGGCUUAGUUUUCUUUUUCUAACUGAGCACAGAUAUAGCAUUUGGAGACGCUUACAUAUUUGCAAUUUAGUCAUGCUAUUUGAGUUGUU